rfam:Asian citrus Psyllid, Diaphorina citri - Florida Strain, whole genome shotgun sequence.
GUCCGCGCCGAUUGUUGAAUGUGUCAGUUCCCCAUGGACCACUGAAGUUAAGCAACGUCGUGCUCGGUUGGUAUCCAGAUGGGUGACCAACUGGGCGAUCGUGUGCUGUUGGCU